CGCGUAGGCGGAUAUUUAAGUCGGGGGUGAAAGCCCAGGGCUCAACCCUGGAACAGCCUUCGAUACUGGAUAUCUUGAGUACGGGAGAGGUGUGUGGAACUCCGAGUGUAGAGGUGAAAUUCGUAGAUAUUCGGAAGAACACCAGUGGCGAAGGCGACACACUGGCCCGUUACUGACGCUGAGGCGCGAAAGCGUGGGGAGCAAACAGGAUUAGAUACCCUGGUAGUCCACGCUGUAAACGAUGAGUGCUAGUUGUCGGCAUGCAUGCAUGUCGGUGACGCAGCUAACGCAUUAAGCACUCCGCCUGGGGAGUACGGUCGCAAGAUUAAA
rnacentral:rRNA from 1 species